UACGUAGGGUGCAAGCGUUAAUCGGAAUUACUGGGCGUAAAGCGUGCGCAGGCGGCUUUGCAAGACAGAUGUGAAAUCCCCGGGCUUAACCUGGGAACUGCAUUUGUGACUGCAUGGCUAGAGUGCGGCAGAGGGGGAUGGAAUUCCGCGUGUAGCAGUGAAAUGCGUAGAUAUGCGGAGGAACACCGAUGGCGAAGGCAAUCCCCCGGGCCUGCACUGACGCUCAUGCACGAAAGCGUGGGGAGCAAACAGG
rnacentral:rRNA from 1 species